rnacentral:ncRNA from 2 species
GAAUAAACAAAAAAUAUAGGUUUAAUCUAUUUUGAUUAAUUAAAAGGGAAUCAGGUGAAAAUCCUGAACUAUCCCGUAGCUGUAAUAGAUGAGUUUUAGUGCAUUAUGCCACUUAUAUAUUGGGAAGGCGUGCUAAAAUGAUGAAUCUUGAGUCAGAAGACCUGCCUAUGUUUUACACAAAUA